rnacentral:rRNA from 1 species
UGCGCAGGCGGAUCUGUCAGUCAGUGGUGAAAUCCCGGGGCUUAACUCCGGAACUGCCAUUGAUACUGCGGAUCUUGAAUACGGUUGAGGUAGGCGGAAUGUAGCAUGUAGCGGUGAAAUGCAUAGAUAUGCUACAGAACACCGAUCGCGAAGGCAGCUUACCAAGCCGAUAUUGACGCUCAGGCACGAAAGCGUGGGAGCGAACA